rnacentral:rRNA from 1 species
UGGCGGACGGGUGAGUAACGCGUGGGGAACCUGCCCUGUGCAGGGGGAUAACACUUAGAAAUAGGUGCUAAUACCGCAUAAGCGCACAGUAUCGCAUGAUACAGUGUGAAAAACUCCGGUGGUACAGGAUGGACCCGCGUCUGAUUAGCUGGUUGGCGGGGUAACGGCCCACCAAGGCGACGAUCAGUAGCCGGCCUGAGAGGGUGAACGGCCACAUUGGGACUGAGACACGGCCCAAACUCCUACGGAAGGCAGCAG